rnacentral:lncRNA from 1 species
GGAGUAAGUAACUCUCAGUUCUUAGAUGAAAAACUUGAAAACUUGAAUCCUAUAGACAGAACUCUCCACCUACAAGUACACUUUUGGUCACCACACUGAUACCGAGUCCAACAUAAAAUCUACAACAAAAAUCAAAAAAUCAACAACAAAAUCUAAAAUUUUGAAGGGCGGCAUGAAGUCGUGUGGCACUUAUCAAAUUCUCAGUGUGUGUCUCUCGUGAAUAAAUAAAUAAAAUCUUAAAAAAAAAAUCUGGGGAUCCCUGGAUGGUGCAGCGGUUUGGCGCCUGCCUUUGGCCCAGGCGCGAUCUUGGAGACCCUGGAUCGAAUCCCACGUCGGGCUCCCUAUAUGGAGCUUGCUUCUCCCUCUGCCUGUGUCUCUGCCUCUCUCUCUCUCUCUCUCUCUCUGUGUGUGUGUGACUAUCAUGAAUAAAUAAAUCUUUAAAAAAAAAAAAUCUGACUUACUGGCUUCUCAUAUGGAAAAAAGUGUAGAUCUCUGCCUACAACAUAAUAGGCACUCAAAGCAACGUCCCCUUUUCCUUGCCUCUGCCCACAGGCGGCCUCCUCCUCUUCCCCGGCUGGAUUGGAGUUUAUGAAACCAUCAGAGCAGGGGAGGACACAACAUGGGCAUGAAGUACUUGAACGUUACCAGUACUUUGCUACAGGAAGGAAGCCGUCACCCCUGGAUCGCGUGCUACCGUCAGGAAGAUGGGUUAGGGAGUGCCGAGCAUAAAGAAACAGCCAAGAAGAUGCAAAACCAAGAGGUAAAGAUGCCAGCAGGCCUAGCUGGGUUUUCUGUGCUGGCAAGCGAGGUCUAACAUGGAAUAUCCAGAAAUCACACUGCAGUUCCACCAUUCUUGAUGUCCUCCCAGCCUGUCAACCAUUGCUGCAGUUACGGACACCUGGAAAAAUUGAGGCUUGUGCUCACCAUCCGAGCAUCUCUGGAAAAUGAGUGAGUGUGAACCCAAUUUGUUGUGCUGGGUGGGACGGUUAAGG